rnacentral:rRNA from 1 species
UACGUAGGGACCAAGCGUUGUCCGGAAUCAUUGGGCGUAAAGGGUGCGUAGGUGGCGAGGCAAGUCAGAUGUGAAAUCCCAGGGCUCAACCCUGGAACUGCAUUUGAUACUGCCCUGCUUGAGUACUGGAGAGGAGAUUGGAAUUUACGGUGUAGCAGUGAAAUGCGUAGAUAUCGUAAGGAAGACCAGUGGCGAAGGCGAAUCUCUGGACAGUUACUGACACUGAGGCACGAAGGCCAGGGGAGCAAACGGG